rnacentral:lncRNA from 1 species
UGGACGGCGACCCUGGGCUUUCGGGAGAAAGCCAGAGGGGCAGGGUUCUGGAAGGUUCCCUGGCGGCUGGGGUGCGGUGCGGGCUGAAAUCCGAGCAGGAGCUGGGCGCGGCCCUCGGGGACCGACUAUGGGGGACGGCGCCGCGGGAGUGGGGCAAGUGCGGGCCUGGACCCUUGGGGCCACCGCGUCAGCAGUCGGCGGGGCCGUGGGAGGGACGGUGCCCGCCCGCUGUGAAGGGCGGUGGCCCUUCUAGGGUCAGGCCAAGCGCAGAGGCCUGAAGGUCACCGGGUGAGGAGCCAGCGCGGGUGCCUCAGAAGCCAAGCGCCCCGUCCCGAGCCCUGCGCGAACCAGUAUGACCUUCCAGGAACCAGAUGAGAGCUGCGUUUUCAAGAAGCAGUGCCAGACACCUUGGGAAAUCGACACUCUCCUGUCCUUGGGUGGGGGUGGGGGUCCUGGAAAGAAGCUCCGUCAGCGUAAAGUGAACUCUUAGCUUUGACUUUGCAGAGGGAUCCGUUGUGUCACAGUGACCCGCAUUCCUGUCAUUGGUGUGGUGUGUUUCACAGCCAUUGCCUCCCUAGGUAGAUUGUAAAACGGCGUUCGUAGAGCCUUUGACCUCAUAAUAUUAUGUUGGAAAUUACACGAUAGUAAACAUAAUGAUAAAUGGGGAAUGUUAAAUGGUAGUAUGGGAACAUUUUCUAAUGGUUGCAUCCUUAAAAUUUUCUGUUUCAAGUUUUUAAAGGCUAUAGCCUUAAAAAAAGCUGACUGUAGGAAAAUGGUGGAAAGAGUCGUGGAAUAAAGGUAGCUUUGGGGAUUAUGACGUGAAUAAAUGACAGAAAUUA